AAUAGAUACCCGGGUAGUCCACGCCGUAAACGAUGGAUGCUAGCUGUUAUGCGUAUCGACCCGUGUAGUAGCGAAGCUAACGCGUUAAGCAUCCCGCCUGGGGAGUACGAACGCAAGUUUAAAACUCAAAGGAAUUGACGGGGACCCGCACAAGCGGUGGAGCGUGUUCUUUAAUUCGAGGCUAAGCGAAGAACCUUACCAGGGCUUGACAUCCCUGGAAUUUCUCCGAAAGGAGAGAGUACUUUAUUGGACCAAGUGACAGGUGCUGCAUGGCCGUCGUCAGCUCGUGUCGUGAGAUGUUUGGUUAAGUCCAUUAACGAGCGCAACCCUUAUGAAUAGUUGUAUUUUUCUAUUCAGACUGCCCCGGUAACGGGGAGGAAGGGGGGGAUGAUGUCAGGUCAGUAUUGCCCUUACGCCCUGGGCUAGAAACGCGCUACAAUGGCCGGUACAAUGCGCUGCCAACCCGCGAGGGGGAGCAAAUCGCAUCAAAGCCGGUCCCAGUUCGGAUAAGAGGCUGAAACUCGCCUCUUGAAGCCGGAAUCGCUAGUAAUCGU
rnacentral:rRNA from 1 species